rnacentral:tRNA from 1 species
GGGGAUUUAGCUCAGUGGUAGAGCGUUUGCCUAGCAAGCACAAGGUCCUGGGUUUGGUCCCCAGCUCCG